GAUAUGACAUGUAGGUAGUUACCCUUUCCUCAGAUAUAGAUUGAACUACGAUUUUACCGUAAAUAUAAAUAGUGUUACUUUACGUGAUUUGAAUUUACCCGCCUAAAAUCCAGACCGUGGUUUAGAAUGUAUAUACCUGUUGCCACGGGGUUCACUUGUAUAAAACCGGGUGGGAGGUUUUAGCCAAUCAGAAUUAAGAUAGGCCGAUCUCCGGGCAGAGGAGAAAAACACGAUCCACCUGGGCGGCACGUUGCUGAAAGCAGCAACAAGUGUAUGGAGAUAUUUCAUUGUUUCACUAGUAUUUGACCAUGGAAAUGCUCCGUGGAGGUAGAGUGAUGGGGUGAACGUGAGGAUGGGGACCUGACCAGGACAGCGGGGCAUGACUUAGGCCAGUAUCAGCUCUAGGCAUCUUCAUGGGCGAACGACCUGUAUACUGUGGCAGUUUGAGUGUACGUCGUACAGCUGACCACACGGACCAUCCCUCUACGGCUCAUAUAUCUAUGCGGCACUCCAACGUAGACGGCGAUACACCUGGGGUUCACGCACCGAGACUCUCUCAUCUUGCUGGAAUGCGGUAACCAAUACAGUGGCUUCCAAUAUGUGAUGUUCUGAACUGAACUGUGUAAUUGAACUGUGUACUGGAACUAAUUACAACCCUUUAUUCUACGGACACGGAAUUGAGUUGAAUUAUGUGACAUUCUAGGGUAAAUUGAAUAGAAUUCUAAUAUUAAUUCAUGAAAAGUAUUCAUGGUAAGGUUAUACGCAGGCUAGUCAAUAGUUUAUCAUACUGGUAAUUUUGUAAUAUGUGGUAAAAGACGUUGUGUACGUUUGCUCUAGUCAUAUUGUAUCAUUGAAAUACUUAGUGGCCACAGCAGCCAGUAUUGUUAUUUUUCCUAUCUGGCGUGUGGAAGUAAAUCAUUAGGGAUGGAAUUCCUGAUAUUAUAGUACUUUACUUAUGUUGAAUAUUUGUAUAUAAAUUGUUACUUGAAAAUUUA